GAUAUGACUCAAUGGUAGAGCACUUGCCUAGGAUGCAUGAGGCCAUGGGUUCCAUUCUCAUCAUC
rnacentral:tRNA from 1 species